AGAGUUUGAUCAUGGCUCAGAAUGAACGCUGGCGGCGUGCCUAACACAUGCAAGUCGCACGAGAAAUCCGAGCUUCAGUUUUACUGGAGCAGGGAGAGUAAAGUGGCGCACGGGUGAGUAACGCGUGGGUGACCUACCCCUGGAUCCGGGAUAACACUUCGAAAGGGGUGCUAAUACCGGAUACGACCCUUAGGGGAGAAAGCCGGCCUCUCGAAGAAGCUGGUGUUCGGGGAUGGGCCCGCGUCCUAUCAGCUGGUUGGUAGGGUAACGGCCUACCAAGGCGACGACGGGUAGCUGGUCUGAGAGGAUGAUCAGCCACACUGGCACUGGAACACGGGCCAGACUCCUACGGGAGGCAGCAGUGAGGAAUUUUGCGCAAUGGCCGCAAGGCUGACGCAGCAACGCCGCGUGGGUGAUGAAGGCCUUCGGGUCGUAAAGCCCUGUCAGGUGGGAAGAAAGGCAUGGUGGCGAAGAGCCUCUGUGUUUGACGGUACCACCAGAGGAAGCACCGGCUAACUCCGUGCCAGCCGCCGCGGUAAUAC
rnacentral:rRNA from 1 species